rnacentral:rRNA from 1 species
AUUGAACGCUGGCGGCAGGCCUAACACAUGCAAGUCGAGCGGAUGAAGGGAGCUUGCUCCUGGAUUCAGCGGCGGACGGGUGAGUAAUGCCUAGGAAUCUGCCUGGUAGUGGGGGAUAACGUCCGGAAACGGGCGCUAAUACCGCAUACGUCCUGAGGGAGAAAGUGGGGGAUCUUCGGACCUCACGCUAUCAGAUGAGCCUAGGUCGGAUUAGCUAGUUGGUGGGGUAAAGGCCUACCAAGGCGACGAUCCGUAACUGGUCUGAGAGGAUGAUCAGUCACACUGGAACUGAAAAACGGUCCAGACCCCUACGGGAGGCAGGAGGGGGGAAUUUGGGAAAAUGGGGGAAAGCCUGAUCCAGCCAUGCCGGGGGGGUGAAGAAGGUUUUCGGAUUGUAAAGCAUUUUAAGUUGGGGGGAAGGGCAGUAAGUUAAAACCUUGCUGUUUUGGCUUUACCAACAAAAUAAGCACCGGCGAACUUCGU